ACGAACGCUGGCGGCGUGCUUAACACAUGCAAGUCGAACGGAAAGGCCCUGCUUUUGUGGGGUGCUCGAGUGGCGAACGGGUGAGUAACACGUGAGUAACCUGCCCUUGACUUUGGGAUAACUUCAGGAAACUGGGGCUAAUACCGGAUAGGAGCUCCUUCUGCAUGGUGGGGGUUGGAAAGUUUCGGCGGUUGGGGAUGGACUCGCGGCUUAUCAGCUUGUUGGUGGGGUAGUGGCUUACCAAGGCUUUGACGGGUAGCCGGCCUGAGAGGGUGACCGGCCACAUUGGGACUGAGAUACGGACCAGUCUCCUACGGGAGGCAGCAGUGGGGAAUAUUGCACAAUGGGCGGAAGCCUGAUGCAGCAACGCCGCGUGCGGGAUGACGGCCUUCGGGUUGUAAACCGCUUUCGCCUGUGACGAAGCGUGAGUGACGGUAAUGGGUAAAGAAGCACCGGCUAACUACGUG
rnacentral:rRNA from 1 species